GUCGUUUUCCGUGGUCAAUGGUUCUUAACCUCCUACGGGCGGCGGCCGGCUCCGAAUUUGGCCGGAAGUGCGAUCUCUCCAUCUCUCUUUGUGGAAUCUGAAUAAUUUCUCAACUUUCUGCUUGGAACCUCCUCUCAGGCAACCAGGCUCAAGGUUCCGGCAAAUUAUUAGGUGCGGACACCGGACAAAGAGAAUCAUCCGGAUUUCUCUCUAUCUACAGUCAAAACGUAUACGUUUUACUGUAGACAAAGAGAAAUCUGAAUGAUUCUCUCUGUCAGGUGUCCGAACCUAAUAAUUUCUCCAAGGUUCCUGAUGAAGCUUACGAGGGCCACACGAUUUCAUGGAAUUUGUAUGCUAGUGCUGCUGAUGAGCAUAACAUAGCGCGUAAAACUCGUCAAUACGGGAUCUGACAAAAGAGUUGAUGUGUGUUGUCGCCUACUUCUGUUAAUCAAGCCAAUGAUCACCAUCUGAGGUAACACUGCCCUAAUAUCUUUUUCUUUAUGGAGCAUGCUGCAUGCUUGUAUUUACCACUCAGAAAUAUCGUUUUAAGCUGUGCUUAAAUGGUAUGCAACUUAUAUGUCUUAUGUAAGCUUGUAUAAAAUUAGCCAAAAUUUGUUUAAUUAUGUAUUUAUAUUUUAAGGUUAUAAAAAAUAAGCAAAUUGUAAUUCAUUAUUUAAUCGAUCAAGGGGAUAGAAGUUCAAUGGUGUGAAAUUUUUUAUUUUUUAAGAUGAAUUAUUAGGAUAGGCAAUUUGUAAUUCUUUAUUUGAUCCAAAUUUGAUGUAAGAUGACUAGCUCCAUUAAGAGGAUUAUUAUAGAAGUUUUAUGA